AAGGCUUGUCUGCAUGCUGAAGAACAGCACAGCACAUCCUUGCAGCUCUUAUCUACAGAGUGAUGUGGUGCACUGGUAGAGGGCUUUGUCUUUAUUCACAACACAUUCAGUGUGUCUCUGCAGGGGAGGAAGCAACACUUGCCUGUCAGCCUGUGCUCUACCACCGUCUGCAGAAUAAACUGAACUCUAAGUCACCAUUAAAGAGAAGGAGUGAAAGGUAAAGAGAGACGGGGAGAGAAAGGGAAUUGCUCUCUGGCUUAUUCAUACAUUAGCUCUCUGCAAAGGCACAAAGCAGAAGGAGCAGCAUCAGCAACCUUGCAAGCAGUGACUUUAACUAUUUCUAAUUAAUACGAUCUGAGCUACUUUGAGAAGCCAAUUUAUUACUUAUGCAUACGAGCUUGAGCUUUGCUGAAAACUGGAUGUGCCACGCACACCUUUGCUUCUGAUUUAUACAUAAAGACUUGCAUCUUUCACAGAAUAAACCUUAUCAGGAGAGAUUCAACUAAGGCAGGCUUUUGUCUGGCAGAUGGUGGUUCUUGCACUGAACUGCAACAGCAAUUGCUGAGGUUGAAGCCCUGCAUCUCUCUCAUAUACUUCCAGAACACCUGGCAGGUGAGAAGUUAGCUACUUCACGUCAGAGUACAUCAGAAAGCACUCCUUCUGCUACUUUACCUCUGAGGCCUUGUUCUGCGCUUCAGUGUCUGAAUGUUUUCUUACCUUAGAAAAGUGUAAAGUACUUGCGUGUCUUUCAACUGUAUCCUCAGCAGAACAGAAGCAAGAAAAUCAAUAGGGAGUCAUUCUGUCCAACAUUUCAAGAAGCAAUAUUGAACAGCUUAUCUUCUUCCUUUGUCCAGUGAUAUAGGAGUGUUAUCAAAAAUACCAGUAAUACACUUGUACGUUCAAAAAUUAAGUUUUUUUUCCACAACAAGGUUGUGAUAUACUUGGAACAAAUUGUGCUUUGCUAACAUAUGUGCGAAUCUACCAAAAAACAAAUUAAUUGCUUUAUGUUGUUUGUUUUCACGUACACUUUGUGUCUUGACAUCAGCUAACACCAUUGUCAAGUACAAGUUUUCCCUUUGAAAGAUGAACUUGCAUGUUUUCUGCUCCGUUAUUUGCUGAAUUCAAAAACUUGCCAUAAAAUGGCUAAGAUAAAAUAGCUUAAAACAUCUGUUUUGUAAUAACACGUUGCAUUUUCUUAGGGUUAGAUUCUUCCACUCUCACAUCGUGUAGCUUCUUUGAGAUGAAUUUUUAGAAGUUCUUCUUGAAAAGUUAUCUCUGCAUGAACUAUCUGAGGCUCAGCCUGAUUCCCAACCUUCCUUUGAAUAUGAAGCAAGAAUAGAACUAAUGUCAGUGGCAGUGUCUUGUCACUGCAUUGUUUAUCUUAAUGACGUGAACAGCUGUUGAAGCUAUUUUUAUCUUUCUUUCCCCUCCCUAAAAAAAUUACUAGCCGAGAAUAUCAACAAUUACUAGAUUGUUGAGGUGGUACUCAUAUAGUGCUCCCUAGAGAGGUAGUAUCAGUUCUGUAAUACUUAAGCUGUAUUAUGCAAGUAUUUGAAAUGGUACUAAUAGCAUUAACACGUUUAGUAAUAAAUAGAUGUGAGUUUUGUGAACAGAGUUUUGAAUGAUUAUGGAAAUUGAUCCCUUUUUAGUAACUAUAGUAAUAAAAAAAUAAAAAAAAAAGAUCCAACCCUUAUCAUCAAGUUUAAUCGUAUGACCUUUUUUUCGAUAUUAAAAACUUCUGUAAAUAAGGAUAUGGUUUUAAAUGGACAUUUCUGUGUGAAAUUGGGAUUCUUAAAAUACAGAUUAUCAAGGAAAAUCUCCUGAAGUAAGUAUAAAUUGAUAAGCACAAAUAAAGGUUGAAAUUAAACAUUUUGCUGUUUCUAGAAUGU
rnacentral:lncRNA from 7 species